rnacentral:rRNA from 1 species
UACGGAGGGUGCAAGUGUUGUUCGGAAUUACUGGGCGUAAAGGGAGCGUAGGCGGGCUCUUAAGUUGGAUGUUUAAAACCGGGGCCUAACCCCGGCGUGGCAUCCAAAACUGGGAGUCUUGAAUGGGACAGAGGCCAGUGGAAUUAGAGGUGUAGCGGUGGAAUGCGUAGAUAUCUCUAAGAACACCAGUUGCGAAGGCGGCUGGCUGGGUCCACAUUGACGCUGAGGCUCGAAAGCGUGGGGAGCAAACAGG